rnacentral:tRNA from 1 species
GCCGCUUUAGCUCAGGCUGGCAGAGCACCGGAUUUGUAACCCGGGGGGCGUUGGUUCAAGUCCAACAGACGGCACCA